rnacentral:lncRNA from 1 species
GGAUCAUAUAAAUUUGCAAGAAUAGAACUAGUUUCACAAUAUUUUUCCUUGUUUAUCCUAUCUCCAUCCGAUUCUUCAUUGUGCUCUUCACUAGAUAUUAUUUCAGUAGAUGUUUGAAUACUACUAUGAAUUUGGUUGUCAAUUUCAUUUUGUUUCGUUCUUUUUAUGUCAUUUUCUAACUCUAUUUCGGGUGCAUGCUCUGUUGUUAAUUCUUGAGUUGAAUUUGA